AGUGAACGCUGGCGGUAGGCCUAACACAUGCAAGUCGAACGGCAGCACAGUAAGAGCUUGCUCUUACGGGUGGCGAGUGGCGGACGGGUGAGGAAUACAUCGGAAUCUACUUUUUCGUGGGGGAUAACGUAGGGAAACUUACGCUAAUACCGCAUACGACCUACGGGUGAAAGCAGGGGAUCUUCGGACCUUGCGCGAUUGAAUGAGCCGAUGUCGGAUUAGCUAGUUGGCGGGUAAAGGCCCACCAAGGCGACGAUCCGUAGCUGGUCUGAGAGGAUGAUCAGCCACACUGGAACUGAGACACGGUCCAGACUCCUACGGGAGGCAGCAGUGGGGAAUAUUGGACAAUGGGCGCAAGCCUGAUCCAGCCAUACCGCGUGGGUGAAGAAGGCCUUCGGGUUGUAAAGCCCUUUUGUUGGGAAAGAAAAGCAGCAGGUUAAUACCCCGCUGUCCUGACGGUACCCAAAGAAUAAGCACCGGCUAACUUCGUG
rnacentral:rRNA from 1 species